UACGGGGGGGGUAAGCGUUGUUCGGAAUUACCGGGCGUAAAGGGCUCGUAGGCGGCCAACUAAGUCAUACGUGAAAUCCCUCAGCUUAACUGGGGAACUGCGUGUGAUACUGGAUGGCUUGGAUUUGGGAGAGGGAUGCGGAAUUCCAGGUGUAGCGGUGAAAUGCGUAGAUAUCGGGAGGAACACCAGUGGCGAAGGCGGCUUUCUGGCCUGCUCUUGACGCUGAGGCGCGAAAGCCAGGGGAGCAAACGGG
rnacentral:rRNA from 1 species